rnacentral:rRNA from 1 species
UAGAGUCGGCCUUGAGUCGGCGACGGGUCCUUCAAAUGUCUGCCCUAUCAACUUUCGAUGGUAGGUGACCUGCCUACCAUGGUGAUAACGGGUAACGGGGAAUCAGGGUUCGAUUCCGGAGAGGGAGCCUGAGAAACGGCUACCACUUCCAAGGGAGGCAGCAGGCGCGCAAAUUACCCACUCCCAGUACGGGGAGGUGGUGACGAAAAAUACCGAUGCGGGACUCCUUAAAGAGGCUCCGUAAUCGGAAUGAGUGGACUAUAAAUCCUUUCACGAGGAUCAAUUGGAGGGCAAGUCUGGUGCCAGCAGCCGCGGUAACUCCAGCUCCAAUAGCGUAUAUUAAAGUUGCUGCAGUUAAAAAGCUCGUAGUUGGAUCUCGGUAGCACUGUUGCCUGUUGGUCUUUGGGUGGAUGGUUGCCGUAGCUAGCGUCGUUGUCGUUGCGUGUUACUGCGGGAUGCGGCGUUGGCUGCGGCGGCAGCUGUGCAUUCCAAGCUAGCGGGGUAGCGGUGUGACCUGUAAGCCAUGUCUGUGGUGAAAGCCGCAGGUGUGAGCGAGUGUCGGGCGACGUCCUGCGGUAGUGGGGCUUGUCGGCUCG